GUGACGCACGCCACCGCGGGCGUGCGCGUCCCCGCUUAGCACCGGCCCUCAGUGCGCUUGCGCCACUAGAUGACCCGCCCCCUCGGGCUGUCGGGGGGUCGAGACAGUGGAGUGUUCCUGAUGCCAGCUCACGGAGGGAAUCCAGGGAAUUAGCUGAUGCCAAGAGCCUCUUUUUGGCCAGCACUUACUAAGCACCAGAGACACAGCGAGAAGCAGAAGCAUACGAGCACAUCAGUGUGAUUCUGCUGUGAUGAAGGGCAAGAGAGGGCUCACUUUCCGGCGUGACAUUCAAGCUAGCCCCGAGGCCUGAGCAGGACCCGCCCAGGGGAAGAUCUGGAGGAAAGCCAUCUGAACAUACAACAAGAGCAAAGGCCUGGUGGAGUCAAGACCACCUUGGCUGCCAGGUGGAAUGGUGGAAUAACUCAGGAGUCUGUCAGGUCUCUGAGAUGUCAAACGGCCUGUCCAGCUGCACCACUGGAGGUUACCAUGGCAACUAAACCCAGAGGCAGCCGGUAACUGAGAUACAGCUGCCAAGAGCAACUGAUGGUGGAAAAGGCCAACAGCAGAGACUCUUAGAAGGAAGAGAAGUACACAGGAGGAGGCCCCAGAACCCUGAGGGUGCUACACUCAAAUCUAAUCCUACUCACAACUCAGCAGGCAGUCAACGUCUUGCACAAACUGCCAUAUCACCAACCAGAGGCACAGAUAUGGACACAAUGGGGCCAAUUUGCAGAGAUGUUUGCAACUAUGGAUGCAGAGUAGCACAGGUGGGACACAUGUUGUUUAGCCCAAAAGCAACGGGUCUUGGUGAAAACGAAAAUGGG
rnacentral:lncRNA from 10 species